rnacentral:rRNA from 1 species
CCUACGGGAGGCAGCAGUGGGGAAUAUUGCACAAUGGGGGAAACCCUGAUGCAGCGACGCCGCGUGAGUGAAGAAGUAUUUCGGUACGUAAAGCUCUAUCAGCAGGGAAGAAAAUGACGGUACCUGACCAAGAAGCCCCGGCUAACUACGUGCCAGCAGCCGCGGUAAUACGUAGGGGGCAAGCGUUAUCCGGAUUUACUGGGUGUAAAGGGAGCGUAGACGGUAAAGUAAGUCUGGAGUGAAAUGCCGGGGCCCAACCCCGGGACUGCUCUGGAAACUAUUGAACUGGAGUGCAGGAGAGGUAAGCGGAAUUCCUGGUGUAGCGGUGAAAUGCGUAGAUAUCAGGAGGAACACCAGCGGCGAAGGCGGCUUACUGGACUGUAACUGACGUUGAGGCACGAAAGCGUGGGGAGCAAACAGGAUUAGAUACCCGGGUAGUC